AAUGCCCAUGAGUUUACAUUGUCAGAGAGACGAGACUCUGUUGAACAACACUUUCUCAACCACUUCCUCCCAUCUCUACUACGUUAGUUGAGGCCAUCAGACCUCAUAAGGAAUCUCCCUGUCCCUAGUCUCUCUGGCUCUGAUCCAUGCUACACAUUUCAGCCAGAGUUAUUUAAUACUGAAAUAUGGUCAUAGCUGUCUCCCGCUUACAACUCCAUCCUUACAGUUGCAGUUCAAAUAUCACCUGCCCUGAAAGUGUUUCCCAAUUUACUCUUUCUAGUAGCUUCAAUUAGAUGCCUCUUGUGAUGGCUUUGAAAUGAGUCAAAGCCUUUGUAAUGAGUCAAAUGUAGUUUGGCCAGGCCAAACUACAUUUCCCAAAAUUCAUUUAAAGAUAUUUCUAGUUAGGGUGAGACACAAGAUUCUUGGGAGAUCUGAAGGACAGAAGGGAAGCAACAGUUAUUUUGUAGCUCAUACACCUUAUUACUGAUCUGCUGACUCGCCUCUUCGGUGGGAAGCAGCAGCUGGCCCUGCAAUUGUUCUGCCCUGCCCUGGAUCAUCCACCCUGAGUUUCUCUGAAUUCUGGGCCAGGCAUGUGUUUAGCUCUCUCACCAAGGUCAAUGAACCUUACUGAGACAGAGACA
rnacentral:lncRNA from 1 species